rnacentral:rRNA from 1 species
AGGAUCAUUAUCAUGUAAAUUCAGUCAUGCUUGCUGCGUGAGCUGCGAUACACCCCACACUGCGUACACCUCUCCUGUUGCUUCCGCCGGGUGCGGACUAAAGUCUCCGUGCCCGGCGGAGAAUAAACCCCAAGUCAUACAAAUAGAAUCUGUCUGAACAAACGAAGAAACCAAAUGAAAUGUUAAAACUUUCAGCAACGGAUCUCUUGGUUCUCGCAUCGAUGAAGAACGCAGCGAAAUGCGAUAAGUAGUGUGAAUUGCAGAAUUCCGUGAAUCAUCGAAUCUUUGAACGCACAUUGCGCCUCCCGGUAUUCCGGGAGGCAUGCCUGUUCGAGAGUCAUUGACAACCACAUCGAAUCCCCCCGUUUCAGUCCUCGAGGGAUUUGGGGGGAGAUCGGUUCUGGUGGAGGAGGAAUUAUUGAGAUGCCUCGCUACGCUUGGCAAAUCCCCUCCCCUCCGAAAUUCAUAGGCGGUCCGUGUCAAACCCAGAUGUUAUAUGGGCGCGUGGUAGAGGAAGGCGCCUCACAAUUUUGGAGGAGCCACUUGUCGCGUGCGUAUAAUAAUGCUGGUUUUUGACCCCACUUUGUUACGGUGUYGGAAGAGCAGGCUUCUCGGUCUGUCCCCGUUGGGGAGAGGCGGAGGUACUCGGCCCAUUCCAGCGCUUGCAUGAGGUUUCGGGACCACGGGCUAGCCAGCGAUCCAAGAACAGGAAUAAAAAUCGCCCGUGGCUUUUUUAUUACUAAAUCAAUGGUUGACCUCGGAUCA